AACAAACGCUGGCGGCGUGCCUAAUACAUGCAAGUCGAACGAGUAGCAAUACUAGUGGCGCACGGGUGAGGAAUACAUGGGUAAUCUGCCUUCAAGUUUGGGAUAACCAGUCGAAAGAUUGGCUAAUACCGGAUAAGACCACAGGAUCUGCGGAUCUAGGGGUUAAAGGUUUUUCGCUUGAAGAUGAGCCCAUGUGGGAUUAGCUAGUUGGUGGGGUAAUGGCCUACCAAGGCGACGAUCCCUAACUGGUCUUAGAGGAUGAUCAGUCACACUGGAACUGAGACACGGUCCAGACUCCUACGGGAGGCAGCAGUAGGGAAUAUUGCGCAAUGGGGGAAACCCUGACGCAGCGACGCCGCGUGAGUGAUGAAGGCCUUCGGGUCGUAAAGCUCUGUCGUAUGGGACUAACAAAAUGGAGGUACCAUGCAAGAAAGGAUCGGCUAACUUCGUGCCAGCCGCCGCUGUAA
rnacentral:rRNA from 1 species